UAUUGACCUAUAAUUGAGGAACAUAUACAAUAACAAAUACGACACUGCCCUGCUUUCUUCACAGCGAGAAAAUCACAUUUUUGACCAAAACAUGCAAGCGGAGACCUUUCAUUAACAACAAAACACGCCUUUGAUAGUGUCCAUACAGUGUAGACUAACUCAUAUAUUUCUAGACACAGGAUAGAACAGGAUAGUACAAUGGAUGUUCUCUAGGAAAUUGAUCGCAAACUGGUUGGUUGUACUGUUUAAUGAAAGGCUAAACUUCCAUAACAAUCACAGGUAUUGUCAAUAGAACAGCUUUGACUCAGGAUGCAAAAAGAUGCACUUAAGGGCCCAGGAUGCAAAUAAAUGUUAUUUGCGUAUGUUUGAAACACUACUGAUCACACACUGGUCCAAAGCGCCUCUUGCGAAGAACAUUUAAACCGUCGAACUGAUUGGUCCGUUGUCGUAGCCCAUGUGCAUAGGCUAGGCCAAGGACGUUAAAGCUUAGGAGACCAUGGAUAUGCACUCUCAAAAUGAUUUAGAACCCUAUCACCUUUCCUUAAGACAGUUAACAAAUUCGAGAGCAAAUCACGUCAAUUGUCAUGGAUUCAUGGUCAAUACCAAAAAGAAUCUGGAAUUGCGAGUGUAAUUUGAUUCAUGCAAAAGUAAGCGUUAGUCGUUUAAUUUUGAUCGUCAUCUUUUCCUUCACGAUGAUCAAACUUGUGACUCGUCUUUUGCGUUAUGAAAUUAUUACUUUCUAAAUUUUGGUCUGUUCAGAAGUUUGUUCGCUUACUGUUAACUUGAUAUUUGAUGGCUACAGCUUGGAUUUCAAAUGAAAUCUUUCCCCACUUUGUCAAAAUGAUGAUAGAAGAUGAUGCAAGUGAUACAAGAUGAAAUGAGAAAUGCUUUCAUUUCCAACAUGUUAUGUUCAAGUGACAAGUGACAAAGUUCGCCAUUUCAUGUUGCCUCAGUGAGGACUGACAAAUAGCGAUUAACUUCCGUUGACCAAACACAAUGUUUGAAAGGGUAAUCCAACUCUUUUCAUUGAAAUGAAUAGACCAGACAGACUUUUCACUCAGCCUCAACAUGAGUGAUAAGACCCUUUAUUUGCCACGAGGAAAAUUGCAACCAGGUUCCUUCAAUGCCGAUAUGCACGAAACUAUGAAAAACAUCUAUUCUUAAUUACACUUGGGGACCAUUUUAUCUACCGUGGGGGUUUGACAUGCGCCCACAGCACACGGCGUCAAAAAUGAGUAUUCCACAUGGGUUGGAAAGUAAUCAAAUGGACUGCGUUUAACUCCAGAGAGAGAGCAUUACGAUAAUAACUGAACUGUUUGGAGGGUUCCACGACAAUUCGACCUAUGGGACAAGUCGGCCUAGGACGAUGCAAUCCAACGAACAACUCGACCCUACGGACAACUCGACCCAACAGACAACUCGACCCAAAUUGAACACAAUUUAUUGGGUAACACAUUCUACAACAAUGGAACAAAAUUGAAACUUUUGUAUCUGAAAGGCAUCACACAAUGCUAAAGUUUUAAUUACUUCAAU